CAGUUUGAAAAGGAAACAAUUUCGGUAAGCAAAAUGUAACGCAACCAGAAUUCACAUACAAAGCAUACAAUACUCAAAAUAAGGACAGAGUUACCCUCCUUCUUCGCGACCGGAGAAGAUCGGCCUUCAAUCAACAGAUAAAACCCUAGGUCCAACACCAGAAACCGUAGGUUCUGAAACUCACCAGAAUAAGGUCGCCGGAAAAUUACCCAAAGCGCCUAUCAAGCGAAGAUAAAGUCAUCGGAUAACAUCAAAACUCUAGGUCCGAAAAUCGGAAAACCCUAGAAUUUGAAGAAUCGUCGGGAUAAAGCCAGGGAUGCCGGAAAAUUACCCAAAACACCAACUGAUACAGGAUCGGAACCUCGGAUAACAGGAAAAUUCCGAUUAUCCGCUCAACAUUCGUUGAAACAUCUACGAACAGUAUCUCUCACCGGAAACCAUAAAAAAAAGCUUCUGCAAAAGCUUCAAACGGGAUCGAUAACACAUAACUGAGAAGGAUCUGAAGAUCAUCUGGCUCUGAUACCAUGAGAACAUGUUGGUUUGAAGGUAAAAAUGACGAAGAACACAGUGAGAGAAAAGAGGUAGGUGAAGGAACUCUCUGGAAAAAGCCAGAGAAAAAA
rnacentral:lncRNA from 1 species